UGUGGCUAGUCCCGUACUGUGACAAUGGG
rnacentral:piRNA from 1 species